GUGGGCCGAGGUUUUGGCUAGCCCCCCAUUGUCAGACGUCCCGAGCGCGUUCCCGAAGUCGGAAUCGGCAAAGGUGAGCCGGGACAGCCUUCUUCCUCCGCCCAGCCGCCACAGUAAUUUGUCGUCAAGUCUGCCACAGGAGGAUAUUUUGUUCUGAGUUAACCUGCUUUUCUACUUCGCAGGUUGUUUAUUAAUAUUUGUGUAAUUUUAAUUACUCCUAGAAUUUCCGCAUGUGUUAGCAGUAAUUAUUUGAAUUUGGUCUGUAAUAUUAUAUUCAUGUUGGACCUGUAAACUUAAUAUUUUAAGUCUGUUUUGAUGGAUUGGAUGAGGGAGCUGAGCUCCCAUUUAUUAUUA